rnacentral:rRNA from 1 species
CAGUCGAGCGGACCUUUCGGGGUCAGCGGCGGACGGGUGAGUAACGCGUGGGAACGUGCCUUCCGGUUCGGAAUAACCCUGGGAAACUAGGGCUAAUACCGGAUACGCCCUUAUGGGGAAAGGUUUACUGCCGGAAGAUCGGCCCGCGUCUGAUUAGCUAGUUGGUGGGGUAACGGCCUACCAAGGCGACGAUCAGUAGCUGGUCUGAGAGGAUGAUCAGCCACACUGGGACUGAGACACGGCCCAGACUCCUACGGGAGGCAGCAGUGGGGAAUAUUGGACAAUGGGCGCAAGCCUGAUCCAGCCAUGCCGCGUGAGUGAUGAAGGCCUUAGGGUUGUAAAGCUCUUUU